CACAACGUCUGCAAAGAGCUCGAUCUUCAUGCGGCCCACUUCCUGCAACGGGGAGACGGUCAGAAGGCCCAGUGCGAGCCCGGGAAGACCACACCAA